AGUCACUGACAUUAGAUACCCCUGUAGUCCAGGGUGUAAACGCUGCAGACUUGGUGCUGGAGGCCCUUUGGGGGCAUUCAGUGCCGGAGAGAAGUUGUUAAGUCUGCUACUUGGGGAGUACGUCCGCAAGGAUGAAACUUAAAGGAAUUGGCGGGGGAGCACCGCAACGGGAGGAGCGUGCGGUUUAAUUGGAUUCAACACCGUAAAACUCACCAGGGAAGACUGUUACAUGAAGGCCGAGAUGAAGACUCUGCUAGAUUUUCAG
rnacentral:rRNA from 1 species